GACGAACGCUGGCGGCGUGCCUAAUACAUGCAAGUCGAGCGAAUCAAUGGGAGCUUGCUCCCUGAGAUUAGCGGCGGACGGGUGAGUAACACGUGGGUAACCUGCCUGUAAGACUGGGAUAACUUCGGGAAACCGGAGCUAAUACCGGAUACGUUCUUUUCUCGCAUGAGAAGAGAUGGAAAGAUGGUUCUGCUAUCACUUACAGAUGGACCCGCGGCGCAUUAGCUAGUUGGUGAGGUAACGGCUCACCAAGGCGACGGUGCGUAGCCGACCUGAGAGGGUGAUCGGCCACACUGGGACUGAGACACGGCCCAGACUCCUACGGGAGGCAGCAGUAGGGAAUCUUCCGCAAUGGACGAAAGUCUGACGGAGCAACGCCGCGUGAGCGAAGAAGGCCUUCGGGUCGUAAAGCUCUGUUGUUAGGGAAGAACAAGUACGAGAGUAACUGCUCGUACCUUGACGGUACCUAACCAGAAAGCCACGGCUAACUACGUGCCAGCCGCCGCCGUAAGAC
rnacentral:rRNA from 1 species